rnacentral:rRNA from 1 species
UAGGGAAUCUUCCACAAUGGGCGAAAGCCUGAUGGAGCAACGCCGCGUGUGUGANGAAGGGUUUCGGCUCGUAAAACACUGUUGUAAGAGAAGAAUGACAUUGAGAGUAACUGUUCAAUGUGUGACGGUAUCUUACCAGAAAGGAACGGCUAAAUACGUGCCAG